rfam:Biomphalaria glabrata isolate BB02 unplaced genomic scaffold LGTN_random_Scaffold8164, whole genome shotgun sequence.
UGGCUGAGCGGUAAAGCGCUUGGCUUCCGACCCGGGGUCCCGGGUUCGAAUCCUGG